GAGCCGGCCGUGAGGAGGUAGUGCGGGGCCGCGCGAUGCUCCAACGCCGCAGGGCAGCUCCGGGCUCCGAGCGCCGCUUCAGCUUCUACAAGUCAGCUCGUGUUGGAAGUUGGUGGUGUCACUGUAUGAAUGAAGGUCAGUUCAGGAGCAGCUGCUGAUGGAAGGAAUGAAGUCCACGGUAAUGAGCUGAAGCAUCUCCUGGUCAUCUGGUCCAACCUCCCUGCAGUGAACUGGGACCCUACGCUGGGUCAGGCACUCAGAGCCUGCUCCAGCCUCUCCCUGAAUGCCUCCAAGGAUUGAGCUUCCACCACCUCCCUGGGCAACAUGUGCCACUGCCUCACCGCUC